rnacentral:rRNA from 1 species
AAACAUGUCUUAUUGUUUAUUUUUAUUAAGUCUAACCUGCUCAAUGAUUGAUAAUAUCAAUUAAAUAGCCGCAGUAUUUUGACUGUGCAAAGGUAGCAUAAUCAAUUGUCUUUUAAUUGAAGGCUUGGAUGAAUGGUUGAAUGAAGGAUAUACUUUCUUUGUUAUAAUUUUUUGAAUUUAAUUUUUUAGUUAAAAAGCUAAGUUGUUUAAAUGGGACGAGAAGACCCUGUAGAAUUUUAUUUAAAAUUAUUACUAUUGAUUUAUUGUGUUAAUUAUAGGUUUUGUAGUGUUUUUAAAUUUUGUUGGGGCGAUAGGAGGGAAUAUAAAACUCCUUUAAUUUAAAUUUUAAUAAUUAUUAUUUUAAAGAUCCCUUAUUUAGGAUUAUUAGAUUAAAUUACCUCAGGGAUAACAGCGUAAUUUUUUUGGAGAGUUCUUAUUGAUAAAGAAGUUUGCGACCUCGAUGUUGGAUUAAAAUAAGAUUUGGAUGCAGAA